ensembl:rRNA 5S_rRNA 5S ribosomal RNA
GCCUACAGCCUUGCUGGUCUGAAUGCACCAGAUCUCAUUUGAACUUGGAAGCCCUAGACCUAGCUAGUACCUGAAGACC